rnacentral:lncRNA from 1 species
AUAACCCUAGGCUCUAUGAUUUCGAAUAGAGAAACUCGAUCAUGUUUUGAAUUUUACACCAUAAGAAUCCAAAGAAUUAUUGGAGCCAAAGGAUUAGUUGGAUAGCAGCGCCUACAUAUAGCCUGUGGACAUGGUAUGUUCUGUGGAUUAGUGAAUGGACAUAUCUUUUCUCCACAUAUAUACAAGUGGUUCAUUUUAUUUUUUUGGUAAUCAAGUGGUUCAUUUAAAAGUUCCAUAAGAAAACAAGCCCAAAAUAGUCACCGGAAGUGCCCCGCUGAACACCAUCUCUUCUAUUUAAGUGUUUAUGAAGCAUAUGAAUAUGAAAUUAAUUCAGUCAAAAACCAUUAUUUACAUCAAGGUGCUGUACCUGUGGUAAGAAGAAAUAAAUCAAAGAAUAAAAAAGUCCGUUGAAAGAACCAACUGAAAAAGGUAACGGUCUUCUUCUUUUUUUUUUUUUUUGCAAACCAAUAUCUGACGCAAUCUUCAUAUGUUUUGCCUCCCAAAUCUACCACAGAGAUUUUUCUCAUGGUUUUGUCCACGAUUUUGAUGAGUCGCAGUGGAAGAAACUGCGGACACAAUUGAGAGAAAGGGUGAACGUCUCUAACACUCUUGCUUCUCACACACGUCACUUUCUAUUUACCAGGCA